UACGGGGGGGGGCAAGCGUUGUUCGGGAUUACUGGGCGUAAAGGGCGCGUAGGCGGCCUACUAAGUCGGACGUGAAAUCCCUCGGCUCAACCGGGGAACUGCGUCCGAUACUGGUGGGCUCGAAUCCGGGAGAGGGAUGUGGAAUUCCUGGUGUAGCGGUGAAAUGCGCAGAUAUCAGGAGGAACACCGGUGGCGAAGGCGGAUCUCUGGGCCUUACCUGACGCUGAGGCGCGAAAGCUAGGGGAGCAAACAGG
rnacentral:rRNA from 1 species